GUAAUGCGUAGGAAGCUGCCCGAUAGAGGGGGAUACCAGUUGGAAACGACUGUUAAUACCGCAUAAUGUCUACGGACCAAAGUGUGGGACCUUCGGGCCACAUGCUAUCGGAUGCGCCUACGUGGGAUUAGCUAGUUGGUGAGGUAAUGGCUCACCAAGGCGACGAUCUCUAGCUGGUUUGAGAGGAUGAUCAGCCACACUGGAACUGAGACACGGUCCAGACUCCUACGGGAGGCAGCAGUGGGGAAUAUUGGACAAUGGGCGCAAGCCUGAUCCAGCCAUGCCGCGUGUGUGAAGAAGGCCUUCGGGUUGUAAAGCACUUUCAGCGAGGAGGAAGGGAUGUAUGUUAAUAGCAUGCAUUUUUGACGUUACUCGCAGAAGAAGCACCGGCUAACUCUGUGCCAGCAGCCGCGGUAAUACAGAGGGUGCAAGCGUUAAUCGGAAUUACUGGGCGUAAAGCGCACGUAGGCGGUUCGUUAAGUUGGAUGUGAAAGCCCCGGGCUCAACCUGGGAAUUGCAUUCAAAACUGGCCAACUAGAGUAUGUGAGAGGGGGGUAGAAUUCCAAGUGUAGCGGUGAAAUGCGUAGAGAUUUGGAGGAAUACCAGUGGCGAAGGCGGCCCCCUGGCACAAUACUGACGCUGAGGUG
rnacentral:rRNA from 1 species